GAGGGUAGGCCCCUCGGAUAGGGUGUACAGGCACCGUUUCCAAACCACCCCUAUGCUGCUGCGGUUAAAAGCUGUGGUAGUGAGCGAUAGCGGGAAAAGGCAUCAAAGAAGGUGUCAGGU
rnacentral:ncRNA from 1 species